rnacentral:lncRNA from 1 species
GUCGCUACCAACAACAGCACAAUUACAACAGUAUGCCGGUGUCGUCACUCUUGCACUUUGGGCCAUUAUUACGUAAAAUAGGGUGACUUGAAGACAAGCACUGUGAUAUCACGACAGUCGAUCUGAUAACUGAAGUGGCUCCUAAGGGAAUAACAGGCAGGUGGCAUAGACAGUGUGGAUGCACUGGAUAAAGGGAUGGUUCACAUCCCGGGCAGGACAGAGCAACUCAGAACGCGGCGCAAUUUCAAACUUAUGAACUGCUUAUUUCUGCAAUUUUUCCUUGAAUGCUUUGAGCCCUCAGUUGGCCUCGGGUAACUGAAACUACAGAAAGCAAAACUGCGGAUGGGGAACCAGUGUGACUGAUAUGACUGUGCCUCAUUUUCAGAGCUGUCCGUACGGCAUCAAUGUUCUAUCCAUCAAGUCAUCUGGUUCAUGCGUCUCAUCUGUGUGGUGGCUGUGAAGGACGCCCCUGGAACCUUCCCACCUGCCCCAGAAUAUGCUGGACAUGGUCAGCACCUGGCUCCUGUCAACCUUCCAUCUCCAUCACCGGCCUCUGGAGAUUCCCUACUCCCAUGUGGUGUUGGAACUCUGUUUUUGAUCCAUGCAUCCUUCUUUUGGAGAACUACACCCUUCAGAACUUACCAAGGAAAGAUUCUUUGGGGGCGAAGGACACGGCGACAUUACAGAGAGCUCUCUCGAAACGGCUCCCACGAGAAAACAGCGAUGUCCAACUCACCAUGGUACAAUAGCUCGCCUUAGCCACAACUCCACUUGCUCUUCUGGGACUCAGGAAGGCCUUAAAAUGUGCAAAAAGAUGAUGACAGAGUAAGCACGGAAGUCUACCAGUCACAGGCGCCUAGUACGUUUAGUGCUCACACUCCAUUCUGCCUUGUCAUUUGAGAGACUUUGGAGGCUGCAUUGUAAGAAACGGUUGGCUGUGGAAAUACAUUCCUGUCCAUUCCCCUUACUACUUUUGCGAUUAAUUCCCUAUGUUGCAUUUUUCUCAUGAAUAAAGCAGAAAUUAUAACUAUUGAAUCAUAGGAUUACCAUAAAGGUAAAAUGCUAUAAACUUCUAUAAAGGUAUU